AUGUCCAAUCUACUUACUACCUCCCUCAUCAUUGCCGCCCUACUCUCCUCGAUCCUAGCCUUGGUGUCUUUCUGGCUGCCUCAGAUAAUUCCAGACUACGAGAAACUAUCGCCCUAUGAAUGCGGAUUUGACCCCCUGGGCACAGCCCGCCUGCCCUUCUCCCUCCGCUUUUUCCUUGUCGCGAUCCUCUUUCUACUGUUUGACCUUGAAAUUGCCCUACUGCUCCCCCUCCCGUGGGGGGACCAGCUAACCACCCCAUUGCUAACUUUCUGCUGGGCAUCAGGUGUCUUAAUUUUACUUACUGUGGGAUUAAUCUAUGAAUGAAUACAAGGCGGGCUGGAGUGGGCGGAGUAGACUGUUAGUUUAAUUAAAACCUUUGAUUUCGGCUCAAAAGCUUGUGGUUAAAUUCCACAAUAGUCUUAUGACUCCUGCUCACUUUGCCUUCUCCUCAACAUUUACGCUAGGCCUGAUAGGACUAACAUUCCACCGAACCCAUCUUUUGUCUGCCCUCUUAUGUUUGGAAGGAAUAAUACUAUCUCUAUUCAUUGCCUUUGCACUCUGGACCCUGCAACUAAACUCCUCUAGUUUUUCAAUUGCACCUAUAAUCCUCCUGGCCUUCUCAGCCUGUGAGGCCAGCGCUGGCCUAGGACUUCUUGUUGCAACCGCUCGCACUCACGGCUCUGACCGCAUGCAAAACCUAAACCUCCUCCAAUGUUAAAAAUCCUAAUCCCAACUUUUCUUCUCAUUCCAACCACCUGGUGGACCCCUUCUAAAUGGAUUUGACAAGUUUCGGCUGCCCAAAGCCUCCUCAUUGCCACACUGAGCCUAGUUUGAAUAAAGAAGCCCUGAGAUACGACUUGAACCUACUUAAGUCCCAUUACAGGAGCUGAUGCUUUGUCCAGUCCCCUUCUUGUCCUCUCCUGCUGACUACUGCCUCUUAUAAUUAUUGCCAGCCAAAACCACAUAUCCUCUGAACCAGCCCACCGUCAACGACUCUACAUCUCGCUAAUAAUUACCCUUCAAUUCUUUUUAAUCCUUGCUUUUAGUGCAACAGAAGUAAUCAUGUUUUACGUUAUAUUUGAGGCCACUCUUAUUCCAACCCUAUUCCUCAUCACCCGCUGAGGAAACCAGGCAGAACGCUUAAAUGCAGGAACCUAUUUCCUUUUCUACACCCUGGCUGGCUCCCUCCCCCUUCUAGUGGCCCUCCUCCUCCUUCAAGCCUCCUCUGGGUCCCUUUCAAUCCUUACGCUCCAGUAUAUAAAACCCUUCAUUUACCACUCUUACGCCGACAACUUCUGAUGAGCUGCAUGUCUUCUGGCAUUUUUAGUAAAAAUGCCCCUCUAUGGAGUCCAUCUUUGGCUACCCAAGGCCCACGUAGAAGCACCCAUUGCUGGGUCUAUAAUCCUUGCCGCCGUCUUACUAAAACUAGGGGGCUACGGAAUAAUACGAAUCCUUAUUAUUCUUGACCCCCUGACAAAAGAGCUUAGCUAUCCAUUUAUCAUCCUUGCUCUCUGGGGAGUUAUUAUAACUAGCUCAAUCUGCUUACGACAAACCGACCUGAAAUCACUAAUUGCCUACUCCUCCGUAAGCCACAUAGGACUAGUGGCAGCAGGCAUCCUCAUUCAAACACCCUGAAGCUUUACAGGAGCAUUAAUUCUCAUGAUUGCCCACGGACUGACCUCAUCUGCACUUUUCUGCCUUGCAAACACCAACUACGAACGAACUCACACACGAACAAUAGUACUAGCCCGAGGACUACAAAUGGCCCUUCCUCUAAUAGCCGCAUGAUGAUUUAUUGCCAGCCUAGCCAAUCUUGCACUUCCCCCGCUUCCGAACCUCAUGGCAGAAAUGAUGAUCAUUGUAAGUAUGCUCAACUGAUCGUGAUGAACAAUCGCUCUCACUGGGACAGGAACCUUGAUCACAGCGGCCUAUUCUCUCUACAUAUUUUUAAUGACACAACGAGGACCCCUCCCUCCCCACAUUAUCAAUCUCCCCCCAUCAUUCUCCCGAGAACACCUCCUCAUAGCCCUACACCUCCUCCCGCUUCUCGCCCUUAUCCUCAAGCCAUCCCUAAUCUCGGGCCCCCUCGCAU